GAUAAAUGUCCCGCAUCGGAUAUUGGAAGGGAUCCUAAGCAAUAUAUAAGAUGGAUGGGCCACUCCACUUAGCACCAAUUGGUUUUAGGUUGGAAGCCCAUCUAGCUUAACAUGGUAUCAGAGCCCGAUCCACACAGUCCAAUCCGAUCCAUUAUCGAUCCAGCCCAAAGUCGGCCCAUCGAUCCUUGCCCGAGCAUUCCGAAAUUGACGCUCAAAGAGCCAUCAUCUCGAGGGGGCGUAUUAGGGAUAAAUGUCCCACAUCGGAUAUUGGAAGGGAUCCUAAGCAAUAUAUAAGAUGGAUGGGCCACUCCACUUAGCACCAAUUGGUUUUAGGUUGGAAGCCCAUCUAGCUUAACAUG
rnacentral:lncRNA from 1 species